rnacentral:rRNA from 1 species
GACCAGACUCCUACGGGAGGCAGCAGUGGGGAAUAUUGCACAAUGGGGGAACCCUGAUGCAGCGACGCCGCGUGGGUGAAGGAGCACCUCGGUGCGUAAAGCCCUAUCGGCAGGGAAGAAACAGACGGUACCUGACUAAGAAGCCCCGGCUAACUACGUGCCAGCAGCCGCGGUAAUACGUAGGGGGCGAGCGUUAUCCGGAUUUACUGGGUGUAAGGGGAGCGUAGACGGUUCUGCAAGUCUGAAGUGAAAGCCCGUGACUUAACCGCGGAACGGCUUUGGAAACUGUGGAACUGGAGUGCUGGAGAGGCAAGCGGAAUUCCUAGUGUAGCGGUGAAAUGCGUAGAUAUUAGGAGGAACACCAGUGGCGAAGGCGGCCUGCUGGGCUUUUACUGACGCUGAGGCUCGAAAGUGUGGGGAGCAAACAGGAUUAGAUACCCGAGUA